rnacentral:rRNA from 1 species
UGAACGCAGUAUAUUUUAGAAAGUUUGCAUCGAAGGCCAGGGAAAUGAUUAAAAGGGAUAGAUGGGGGCAGUAAUAUUUAAUUGUCAGAGGUGAAAUUCUUGGAUUUAUGAAAGAUUAACUUCUGCGAAAGCAUCUGCCAAGGAUGUUUUCAUUAAUCAAGAACGAAAGUUAGGGGAUCGAAGACGAUCAGAUACCGUCGUAGUCUUAACCAUAAACGAUGCCGACCAGCGAUUAGGAGACGUUGAAUACAAAACACCACCAUGCGCAUUGCGGUCGUCUUUGGUGUGUCGCUCACAAGGCGGCAUCAUCGGGACGGCUAAGCUCGGCCUUGCUCCGAGUGA